rnacentral:rRNA from 1 species
UACGAAGGGGGCUAGCGUUGCUCGGAAUUACUGGGCGUAAAGCGCACGUAGGCGGCUUCUUAAGUCGGUGGUGAAAUCCUGGAGCUCAACUCCAGAACUGCCUUCGAUACUGAGAGUCUUGAGUCCGGGAGAGGUGAGUGGAACUGCGAGUGUAGAGGUGAAAUUCGUAGAUAUUCGCAAGAACACCAGUGGCGAAGGCGGCUCACUGGCCCGGUACUGACGCUGAGGUGCGAAAGCGUGGGGAGCAAACAGG